rnacentral:rRNA from 1 species
AUUGAACGCUGGCGGCAGGCUUAACACAUGCAAGUCGAGCGGGGUGAUGGUGCUUGCACUAUCACUUAGCGGCGGACGGGUGAGUAAUGCUUAGGAAUCUGCCUAUUAGUGGGGGACAACAUCUCGAAAGGGAUGCUAAUACCGCAUACGUCCUACGGGAGAAAGCAGGGGAUCACUUGUGACCUUGCGCUAAUAGAUGAGCCUAAGUCGGAUUAGCUAGUUGGUGGGGUAAAGGCCUACCAAGGCGACGAUCUGUAGCGGGUCUGAGAGGAUGAGCCGCCACACUGGGACUGAGGCACGGCCCAGACCCCUGCGGGAGGCAGCAGUGGGGAAUAUUGGACAAUGGGGGGAACCCUGAUCCAGCCAUGCCGCGUGUGUGAAGAAGGCCUUAUGGUUGUAAAGCACUUUAAGCGAGGAGGAGGCUCUUUUGGUUAAUACCCAAGAUGAGUGGACGUUACUCGCAGAAUAAGCACCGGCUAACUCUGUGCCAGCCGCCGCAGUAA